AUCCAGAGUUGACCCUUGAGAACCGUUCAAGAUGAAACUGUUCUCGGCCACCCUCAUUCUCGCCCUUGUGGCCUACAGCUGUGAGUACACUCGAACUCCAUUUCCUGCGUUCGGAAAUCUAUCGUCUACGGUAUACGAUCGUACACAUCGAAGAUCAUUAUCGAUGCGCUCUAAUCAUUGCGAAUUUUUGCUUCCAGCUGCUGUUCCCGUGGAGCACGACGAGGACGUGUCGUCCGAGUUGACCGUCGACGAGUUGGUUGACGCCGUCCAGAGCAUCGAGUCCCUGGAGAACAUCGCCACGGAGGAUCAGUCGUACUUCCUGAAGAAAAUCAAGCGGGCCAUCAAGAGGGGAGUGAGAGUCGACGUGGGAGUCAGAAUCCGACCCGCUGUCGCCGAGGCUAAGAAUGCUUUGACUCUUGAAGAGUUCCAAGAACUUAUCGACUCCUUCCAUGGCCUCGAACAGACGCUCCCUUCAGAUUCUGACUACGGAUUCGGGAAGAAGCUCAGAAAGGGACUGAAGAAGAUCGGGAGAGCCAUCGAGAAGGGCGCCAAGAAGAUCCUUGAAAGGGGAGUACGCGUCACCAUUCCCUUCUAAACUGGAUCCGAACGACGGAUCAAUAAUCAAUGGACGUGAUAGAAUAAAUUCGACCCUACCUAUCCCUGUCAUCCGA